rnacentral:rRNA from 1 species
ACGAACGCUGGCGGCGUGCUUAACACAUGCAAGUCGAACGGUAAGGCCUUUCGGGGUACACGAGUGGCGAACGGGUGAGUAACACGUGGGUGAUCUGCCCCCUACUCUGGGAUAAGCCUGGGAAACUGGGUCUAAUACUGGAUAUGACCUUUUACUGCAUGGUUUAAGGUGGAAAGUUUUUCGGUAGGGGAUGAGCCCGCGGCCUAUCAGCUUGUUGGUGGGGUAAUGGCCUACCAAGGCGACGACGGGUAGCCGGCCUGAGAGGGCGACCGGCCACACUGGGACUGGGACACGGCCCAGACUCCUACGGGAGGCAGCAGUGGGGAAUAUUGCACAAUGGGCGCAAGCCUGAUGCAGCGACGCCGCGUGGGGGAUGACGGCCUUCGGGUUGUAAACCCCUUUCAGUCGGGACGAAGAGCAAUUGACGGUACCGAUAGAAGAAGCACCGGCCAACUACGU